GACGAACGCUGGCGGCGUGCCUAAUACAUGCAAGUCGAGCGAAGUUUUUCUGGUUCUUGCACUAGAAAAACUUAGCGGCGAACGGGUGAGUAACACGUAAAGAACCUGCCUCAUAGACUGGGACAACUAUUGGAAACGAUAGCUAAUACCGGAUAACAGUAUUUCUCGCAUGAGAGAUAUUUAAAAGUUGGUUAUGCUAACACUAUGAGAUGGCUUUGCGGUGCAUUAGCUAGUUGGCGGGGUAAAGGCCCACCAAGGCGACGAUGCAUAGCCGACCUGAGAGGGUGAUCGGCCACACUGGGACUGAGACACGGCCCAGACUCCUACGGGAGGCAGCAGUAGGGAAUCUUCCGCAAUGGGCGAAAGCCUGACGGAGCAACGCCGCGUGAGUGAAGAAGGAUUUCGGUUCGUAAAGCUCUGUUGUUAGGGAAGAAUGGAUAUGUAGUAACUAUACAUGUAAGAGACGGUACCUAACCAGAAAGCCACGGCUAACUACGUG
rnacentral:rRNA from 1 species